AGUGGACGCUGGCGGUAGGCCUAACACAUGCAAGUCGAACGGCAGCACAGUAAGAGCUUGCUCUUACGGGUGGCGAGUGGCGGACGGGUGAGGAAUACAUCGGAAUCUACUUUUUCGUGGGGGAUAACGUAGGGAAACUUACGCUAAUACCGCAUACGACCUACGGGUGAAAGCAGGGGAUCUUCGGACCUUGCGCGAUUGAAUGAGCCGAUGUCAGAUUAGCUAGUUGGCGGGGUAAAGGCCCACCAAGGCGACGAUCCGUAGCUGGUCUGAGAGGAUGAUCAGCCACACUGGAACUGAGACACGGUCCAGACUCCUACGGGAGGCAGCAGUGGGGAAUAUUGGACAAUGGGCGCAAGCCUGAUCCAGCCAUACCGCGUGGGUGAAGAAGGCCUUCGGGUUGUAAAGCCCUUUUGUUGGGAAAGAAAAGCAGCAGGUUAAUACCCCGCUGUUCUGACGGUACCCAAAGAAUAAGCACCGGCUAACUUCGUG
rnacentral:rRNA from 1 species